rnacentral:rRNA from 1 species
UACAGAGGUCUCAAGCGUUGUUCGGAUUCAUUGGGCGUAAAGGGUGCGUAGGCGGCGCGGUAAGUCGGGGGUGAAAUCUCGGAGCUUAACUCCGAAACUGCAUUCGAUACUGCCGUGCUUGAGGACUGGAGAGGAGACUGGAAUUUACGGUGUAGCGGUGAAAUGCGUAGAUAUCGUAAGGAAGACCGGUGGCGAAGGCGGGUCUCUGGACAGUUCCUGACGCUGAGGCACGAAGGUCAGGGGAGCAAACGGG